rnacentral:ncRNA from 12 species
GGGUUAUUAGCUCAGUUGGUUAGAGCACACCCCUGAUAAGGGUGAGGUCCCUGGUUCAAAUCCAGGAUAACCCA